rnacentral:rRNA from 1 species
CCUACGGUGAGCAGCAGUAGGGAAUAUUGCUCAAUGGGGGAAACCCUGAAGCAGCAACGCCGCGUGGAGGAUGAAGGUUUUCGGAUUGUAAACUCCUUUUGUUAGAGAAGAUAAUGACGGUAUCUAACGAAUAAGCACCGGCUAACUCCGUGCCAGCAGCCGCGGUAAUACGGAGGGAGCAAGCGUUACUCGGAAUCACUGGGCGUAAACAGUGCGGAGGCGGGAUAGCAAGUCAGAUGUGAAAUCCUAUGGCUUAACCAUAGAACUGCAUUUGACACUGUUAUUCUAGAGUAUGGGAGAGGUAGGUGGAAUUCUUGGUGUAGGGGUAAAAUCCGUAGAGAGCAAGAGGAAUACUCAUUGCGAAGGCGACCUGCUAGAACAUAACUGACGCUGAUGCGCGAAAGCGUGGGGAGCAAACAGGAUUAGAUACCCCAGUAGUC